GUUUAUGAUGAAUUUACUUUUAUCACGACGGUCAACUGCGUUUCUUUACCUGUUUAAUUAAGAAACUUUGAUGAUAACUGCCUGUGACAAGGCAUGAUACUGAC
rnacentral:ncRNA from 24 species